AGUGAACGCUGGCGGUAGGCCUAACACAUGCAAGUCGAACGGCAGCACAGUAAGAGCUUGCUCUUACGGGUGGCGAGUGGCGGACGGGUGAGGAAUACAUCGGAAUCUACUUUUUUGUGGGGGAUAACGUAGGGAAACUUACGCUAAUACCGCAUACGACCUACGGGUGAAAGCAGGGGAUCUUCGGACCUUGCGCGAUUGAAUGAGCCGAUGUCGGAUUAGCUAGUUGGCGGGGUAAAGGCCCACCAAGGCGACGAUCCGUAGCUGGUCUGAGAGGAUGAUCAGCCACACUGGAACUGAGACACGGUCCAGACUCCUACGGGAGGCAGCAGUGGGGAAUAUUAGACAAUGGGCGCAAGCCUGAUCCAGCCAUACCGCGUGGGUGAAGAAGGCCUUCGGGUUGUAAAGCCCUUUUGUUGGGAAAGAAAAGCAGCAGGUUAAUACCCCGCUGUUCUGACGGUACCCAAAGAAUAAGCACCGGCUAACUUCGUG
rnacentral:rRNA from 1 species